AUGGCGGCGACGGGGGAGGAGACGGUGCGUGCGUCGCACAUCCUGAUCAAGCACGAGGGGUCCCGGCGCAAGGCGUCCUGGAAGGACCCCGAGGGCCGGGUCAUCUCCGCCACCACGCGCGCCGACGCCGCCGCGCGCCUCGGCGACCUCCGCGCCCAGAUCCUCGCCGGCCGCGGCUCCUUCGCCGACCUCGCCGCGCAGCACUCCGACUGCUCCUCCGCCCGCCGCGGCGGCGACCUAGGCACCUUUGGGAGGAGGCAGAUGCAGAAGCCCUUCGAGGACGCCACGUAUGCUCUCAAGGUGGGGGAGAUCAGCGACAUCAUCGACACCGAGAGCGGGGUUCACAUCAUCCUGCGUACCGCAUAA
rnacentral:rRNA from 1 species